rnacentral:rRNA from 1 species
GAUGAACGCUGGCGGCGUGCCUAAUACAUGCAAGUAGAACGCUGAAGGAGGAGCUUGCUCUUCUGGAUGAGUUGCGAACGGGUGAGUAACGCGUAGGUAACCUGCCUGGUAGCGGGGGAUAACUAUUGGAAACGAUAGCUAAUACCGCAUGACAACAGUUAUUGCAUGAUAACUGUUUAAAAGGGGCAACUGCUCCACUACCAGAUGGACCUGCGUUGUAUUAGCUAGUUGGUGAGGUAACGGCUCACCAAGGCGACGAUACAUAGCCGACCUGAGAGGGUGAUCGGCCACACUGGGACUGAGACAAGGCCCAGACUCCUACGGGAGGCAGCAGUAGGGAAUCUUCGGCAAUGGACGGAAGGCUGACCGGGCAACGCCGCGUGAGUGAAGAAGGUUUUCGGAUCGUAAAGCUCUGUUGUAAGAGAAGAAAGAGUGUGAGAGUGGAAAGUUCACACUGUGACGGUAUCUUACCAGAAAGGGACGGCUAACUACGUG